UGCCUACGGGGGGCAGCAGUGGGGAAUAUUGCACAAUGGGGGAAACCCUGAUGCAGCGACGCCGCGUGAGUGAAGAAGUAUUUCGGUAUGUAAAGCUCUAUCAGCAGGGAAGAUAAUGACGGUACCUGACUAAGAAGCUCCGGCUAAAUACGUGCCAGCAGCCGCGGUAAUACGUAUGGAGCAAACGUUAUCCGGAUUUACUGGGUGUAAAGGGAGCGUAGACGGCAGGGCAAGUCUGGAGUGAAAGCCCGGGGCCCAACCCCGGGACUGCUUUGGAAACUGCCAUGCUAGAGUGCUGGAGAGGU
rnacentral:rRNA from 1 species